CCCAUUUCAUCACUCCCGUGCGCCGCUGAAAUCUCUCUCCCAUCUGCGCCCUUCCAAUUCCCUCCGCCGCCCGACUCCUCGGUUCUCCUUCCAUCUUCAAUUCUCCACCCCCUUCCCGAUGCCUCCCACCCUUUUUAUCUGGCCCUAAUUCUUCACAGCAAUAGGAAGGUCUUCAGGCAAUUUCUCGAGAAGGCUCUGCUACUCCUUCUAAGAUUUCUCUCCUGUGUGUGAACGAGGCCUUCCUUGUUGCUGUGAGAGUUAUCACCGGAUUCCUGCCCACCGGAUUCCUGAUUGGUGAUACUCUGGUUGAUUGUGUUGUCAUCGGAAUUCCUGCCCUUAGGAUUCCUGCUGUUGGUGACUGACCAUCUGAGAUCUGAGCGCCGAUCUGCUCUCACCAUUCCUUUGUGCUGUGAUCAUUAACGCUGCCGGAAGAAGCUCUGCCUACCGUGGGAAAAUCUGAGCCAAAGUGUCCCGAGGACACAUUUUCCCACUUCAAUCAUUUCUGCACUUUCCUGCUCUUCUGUCUCAUUUUGCUUUUCUUCACUUUGUAUCAGUUUACUUGUUGGUUUAUUGGUGUUCUACAGGUACAGGUACAAGAGGAGUGAAGACGAAGAAGAAGAAGGAACGUGAAGCGGAUCCCGGCACUAGAGUGUCGAGUGAGAAGGACCGGAGGUUCGGGAAACAAGAGGAGUAAUCCCGGCAAGGCGAAGAUACCCAACAGUGGUAUCAGAGCCACGGGGACCUUGCCGGGGCUCCCCCCGAACACAUCCCUCUCACCCCGCCGCCCUUUGGCUGCGCCGAUUCGCUCCCGACGAGCAAGGAUUAAGGUAAAUCUGGACUUUCCCCUACCUGGGAAUCCAGCUCUGGUAAAUUGGCUUAAGACCCUAAAACUCCUAGUCAUUAGGAUUGGUGUUGCCUGCUGUUUUUUCUUUGUUGUAUGUUACUGUUUGGUCUUGGUAUCUUGCUUUUUCUUUGUUGUAUGUUACUGUUUGGUCUUGGUAUCUUGCGAUCCUGAUCUUUUGUGUGCUUCCGCUUGUUGCCUUAUAUCUCGAUAACCCUCUGGCAGUCAAAGCCAAGUGAGGUUCUCCCUUGCAUUUGGUCCAGUUCGUCUGGAUUCUCCUUUAAAGGAGUCUCCUCGUGCGAGUACCCUGGAAAUCAAGGGAGAAAGGGGGCUAUCUAGACAGGCUGUGUGUGCUUUGGUUCCUUAUUGUUUCCGCUGUUGUUUUGCUCUCUCUGGUGUUUCUGCUUUGUUCUGUAAAAGCUCUCUUGGAUUGAGAGUUUUACCCUUCUUUGGACUCAGAUAGUCCUCUUGGAACUUCUUGGAGGGACCAGUGUGAAACCUUGCUCCACAGAUCAAUCUGUGCUGAGAUCUGGGCUCUUCCCUGCUCCUGAACUCCAGAAGUUUCCUUCCUUGAGGUCCUAGUGACCUUUUGUUGUGGUGUUACUUGCUCUGUGGUCUGACUGACCUGUUACUCUGGUGUGGUUGUUGUGGUUUUCUGUGAAAAGUGUGUUUGCUUAAGUGCUGCAUCUGCAUUCACCAUGAACAACUUGCAUUUGGUGCCAUUCAAUGGCCGGGAUGAUUUUCAAGAUUGGAAGACCAAAAUAGAGUGCAUUUUAGUCAAAGAAAAGGUUAAAAAAGCUUUAUUAUCUAAAAUAGACAAGUCUGUGACUGAUGAAAAGCUGCAUGAUAUGAAUGAUAAUGCUAGGGCUACCAUUUUGUUAAAUCUGAGCAGUUCUGUGGUUAGGAAAGUGUCUCAUCAUUUAUGUGCUAAAGAUUUAUGGGAUGAUUUGAACUCUAUUUACUCCACUUCAUCUGAAGAAUCUGCAUGGACCUUACAAAAUCAAUUUAUGAAUUUUCAAAUGGAUCCUUCAAAGGAUGUUGAUUCAAAUCUUGAUGAUUUUCAUAAACUUUUGCAUGAUUUGAAAAUUGCUGGAGAUGACAGUAUUGAGAAGUAUGCCCCUCAGAUUCUGUUAAGUUCUAUUCCUGAGUCCUUUUCUGAAGUAAAAUCAGCUUUAAAAUAUGGUGGGUCUAAGGUUUCUUGUGAAAUGAUUAUCAAUGGUCUUAAGACCAAAGAAAAUGAACUUAAACUGCAAAAACCCAAGUCUCUUCAGGGUGAGGUUAUGUAUGUGAAUAAGGAUAAUCAAAGAAACCCUCAUCAUCAUUUUUCUAAGGGCCAGAAGUCUGAUCAUCAUAAAAAUGCUGCUCCAAAUGAACAAAGGGAAGACAAUAGGUUUGAUCAUAAUCAGAAUCAAAAUAGGAAUCAAAAUCCUGAUCAGAAACCUAGGAAAGUGUGUUGGAAUUGUGGAAAACCGGGCAUUUCAUAAAUAGGUGCAAGUUGCCUAAAAAGAAUAAGAACUUUGUUCCUAAUGAGCCUAAACAGCAUGCAAACAAUGUUUUUGAAGAAGAUGGUGUCUAUAUGGUCCAUGACUAUGAUUUUCAGUACAUUAAUUACUCAAAUUCUGUGUCUAAAUCUGUAAGUUCAAAUGAGUGGCUGAUUGACUCUGGUUGUACUUUCCAUGUGACCCCAUUUGAGCAUAUGUUUCAAAACCUUCAGUUGGUCAAGUCUGGGCAUGUUUCUUUGGCUGAUGGUCAGAGUUGUGAUAUCUUGGGUAAAGGUGAUGUCUGUCUGAAAUUUGAAAAUGGGAGUCUUCUUACUUUGAAUGAUGUUAGAUUUGUACCAAACUUGAAAUUCAGCCUGCUUUCAGUGUCUAAAAUUGCUGAUAAAAUGCUAAAUGGUUCUGUGAACUACUUGAGAUUCCAAUUUGAAAAAGACUCUAUGCUUUACUUUACUGCUCCAAGAAAGGGAGACUUGUAUGCUGUAAGUGCUGAGUCAGUUCCUUUACCUGUUGCUAAUGUGGUCCAUGAGGACAAAUCUGCACUCUGGCAUGCUAGAUUAGGACACAUGAGUAACAAAGGCAUGGAAAUUCUGAAAAAACUGGUGUGUUUGGUAAUGAUAAAGUUUCUGAGCUUCCUUUCUGUGAACCAUGUGUGAUGGGAAAACAUCAUAAGUCUGCUUUUCCAGUUUCUGUUCCUUAUCCUAGAAAGCAUGUUAGCACUGAGAUACUUGAAUACCUGCAUGCUGAUGUUUGGGGUCCUGCUAAAGUGCCCACUCAUGGUGGAAACAUGUAUUUUCUAUCUGUCAUUGAUGAUUUUUCAAGAAAAACUUGGGUCUUUUUAAUGAAAAACAAAUCUGAUGUGUUUGAAAAAUUGUCAACGUGGGCUACACAGAUUCAAAAUCAAACUGGAAAAAGGAUUAAAUGCAUUAGGACAGAUAAUGGUCUUGAAUUCUGUAAUCAUGCUAUGGAUAACUGGUGCAUUGAGUCUGGUAUCAUGAGGCAUAAGUUUGUUCCUUACACUCCACAGCAAAAUGGAGUGGUUGAAAGGAUGAAUAGAACUCUCCUUGAGAGAGUUAGGAGCAUGCUUGUUGCAUCUGGCUUGUCUAAACAUUUCUGGGGUGAGGCCCUCAUGACUGCAGUGUAUUUGAUCAACAGAUCCCCUUCUGUUCCCUUACUUGGCAAACUCCCUGAAUCUGUGUUUUAUGAUAAACCUAUCUGUUUAAAGCAUUUGAGAGUAUUUGGGUGUGCUGCAUAUGUUCAUCAAAAUGUUGGGAAACUAGAACCUAGGGCUAAGAAAUGCAUAUUCCUUGGUUAUCCUGAAGGGGUAAAGGCUAAGGUGUGGGAUAGGUCAGUUCCUGGAUUCAAAACUUGUGUGAGCAGAGAUGUGUCCUUCAAUGAGUUUAACUUUCCUUGUUUACUUGAAUCCUCACACUCUGCUACUCCAAGUGAGGUGGAGAAAAUGCAUGUCUAUGACUACAACAGAUAUGAGUUUAUGUUUACCCCACCCAUGGAUCCUCCUGAGGUGGAUCCUCUGCCCAAUGAUCCUCAUACUUUGACUGAGCAUGCUGAAACUGACCCCACUCCCAACCCUGAACUCAACAUUGAUCCCACCAACCCUGCACCUCUGAUAAUACCUUGAAUGACUAUCAACUUGCUAGGGACAGAGAAAGGAGGAAUAUCAGACCUCCUGCUAGGUUUGAUGAUUAUAACUUGUCUUUGUAUGCUUUCAAUGUGUUCAACAAUGUGGAUUACUCUGAACCCUGCACUUAUUCUGAUGCUGUUAAUUCUGCUGAGUCUGAUAAGUGGUUGACUGCUAUGAAUUCUGAAAUGAAGUCUCUGCAUGAUAAUGAAACUUGGAUUUUAGUCAAGAAACCUGAGGACUGUUCUGUUGUUGAGUGUAAAUGGUUGUUUAAGGUCAAGCAUGAAACUGAUAACAUUAGAUACAAGGCUAGACUUGUAGCUAAAGGCUUUACACAAAAAGAAGGCAUUGAUUAUAAUGAAAUAUUUGCUCCUGUUGUUAAGUUCACCACUGUGCGCAUUAUGCUUGCCUUAUGUGCUCAUUUUAACUGGGAACUAAAGCAAAUGGAUGUUACUACUGCCUUCCUUCAUGGUGAUCUUGAAAAUGACAUUUAUAUGAAACAGCCUGAGGGUUUUGUGAGUGAGGAGUUUCCUGAUCAUGUGUGUUUGCUGAAAAAGUCUCUAUAUGGUCUUAAACAGUCUCCAAGACAAUGGAAUCUCAAAUUUGACAAAUGCAUGCAGAACUUGAACUUUUCUAGAAGUCAAUUUGAUCAUUGCUUGUAUUACUCAAAUUCUGAACCUCCUGUGUUUCUGUUAUUAUAUGUGAUGACAUGCUUUUCUUGGCCCUUGUCUGCAAACCAUUGAAAAUGUGCAGAAAAAAGUUGUGUGAAAACUUUGACAUGAAAAAUCUUGGUGAUGCCAAGAAAAUUUUGGGCAUGAGCAUAGAAAGAGAUAGGGAGAAAUCCACUUCUGUGCAUCAAGUGAUUAUGUGAAACAAGUCUUUGAAAUUCAAAUGGAAAAUGCAGAUCUGUAACUGUGCCUCUUGGUUCUCAUUUUGAAUUAAGUAAAAAGCAAUGUCCUAAAACUGAUCUUGAACUUGAAGAAAUGAGAAACAUUCUAGCUAAUGCUAUAGGCUCUGUCAUGUACUUGAUGAUUAGUACUAGGCCAGAUAUUGCUUAUGCUGUUUCUUGUUUGAGUAGAUAUAUGGCAAAUCCUGGUGUUUCUCAUUGGGAAGCUUUGAAAUGGUUGCUCAGAUAUUUGAAGUCUACUAUGCAUUAUGGUCUGAAUUUUGCUAAAGCUCAAGAUGGUAUUAAAUGUGUUGGAUAUGUGGAUUCUAACUAUGCAAAUGAUAGGGAUAGUAGGAAGUCCUCUACUUCUUAUGUGUUUACCUUGUGUGAUGCCUGCAUUAGUUGGAAAUCUCAAUUGCAAAACAUUGUUGCCUUGUCUACUACUGAAUCUGAGUAUAUUGCUGCAACUGAGGCUGUGAAAGAAGCUCUUUGGCUUGAUGGUUUGCUGUCUGAAAUUAGAUACAUUGAUGAUAAACCCAUUGUUUUCUCUGAUAGUCAAUCUGCCAUUCAAUUAUGCAAAAACCCUGUGUUCCAUGAUAGAACUAAGCAUAUUGAUGUUAAAUAUCACUUCAUUAGGGAUGUAGUUGAAAAAGGAAAUGUUUUGCUUGAUAAAAUUCCCUCUGAAUUCAAUCCAGCAGAUAUGGGCACCAAGUGUCUUCCAGUUGCAAAGCUGGAAUCUUGCUUGGAAACUUUGAAUAUUGGUCCUGGUUAAUUUCCUUUGUGUCUUUGUGUGAUAAGUUCAGCCUCUGUGGCUGCUUGUCUCUUCUUUGUCUAUGUUUUUCUUUUGUUGCAUGAUGAGUAUUGUCUUUGUGCUCCCUGUUGUGUUCUGGUCUGUAUGCCUGCUGUUGUCCUGUGUUUGUUUUCCGUUUAUGUCUCUUUGUUCUGUUUGUGUGUGCCUGCCUUGUUAUGCUUUGUUUUUUGUUGUCUGCUCUGUCUGUUUGUCCUUCUGUGUGUGUUUGUGUGAUGUUGCUUAGUGCAUGUGUGUGUGUCUGUGUGUCUUCAAUGAUAACCCUUUGGGUUUGAGAAAUGGUGAUUUCCCUUGGGUUGGUCUCUGUUGUUGAGAUUGAGUUAAAUAUGCAUAAUAUUUUUCUCACCCUCUAUUGUCUUGUCUUUGUGAUAGGAUGAUAGUAAAAAUGGCUGUGAUGAUAAAGCUCGAAUCAAAGGCUGGCUCUUCCCUGGUGACUUAAUGAUCAUUGUGCCAAAGGUGGAAUGUGGAGUGUUGGCCCAAUUCUCAUUAAUUCCCUUAGCCCAAGCCCAAGCCCAAGCCCAUCCCCUUUAUAUCCAACCUCCCAUCAGCCAACCCUAAAUCCCCUAAUUCCAUGCGCCGCUGUGAUAUCUCUCUCCCUCUCUCACCUGCGCCUCUCCAUCUUUCCCUCCGCCGCCCGACUCCUCGGUUCUCCUUCCGUCUUCAAUUCUCCACCCCCUUCCCGAUGCCUUUCACCCCUUUUAAUCUGGCCCUAAUUCUUCACAGCAAUGGGAAGGUCUUUAGGCAAUUUUCUUGAGAAGGCUCUGCUACUCCUUCUAAGUUUUCUCUCCUGUGUGUGAUCGAGGCCUUCUCUGUUGCUGUGAGAGUUAUCACCGGAUUCCUGCCCACCGGAUUCCUGAUUGGUGAUACUCUGGUUGAUUGUGAAGUCAUCGGAAUUCCUGCCCUUAGGAUUCCUGCUGUUGGUGACUGACCAUCUGAGAUCUGAGUGCCGAUCUGCUCUCACUGUUCCUUUGAGCUGUGAUCAUUAACGCUGCCGGAAGAAGCCGAGUCUACCGUGGGAAAAUCUGAGCCAAAGUGUCCCGAAGACACAUUUUCCCACUUCGAUCUUUUCUGUUCUUUCUUGCUUUUCUGUCUCCUUUCGUUUUUCUCUCUUUGUAUCAGUUU
rnacentral:lncRNA from 1 species